rnacentral:misc_RNA from 1 species
GUGAAUUAAACAUGCUUGGUGUCUUCGCUUCGGCAAGGCCCUUGCUUAAAUCACAUCCUAACACCUGUGAACUGUAAGACGUAUGAUGAGGUCUUUGGCCAAGUCAUCGUCUGCCCAUUUUUAACAAACAAUUAAUGUAACAAAACGUAGUCUUAUUAUAACCUAAUAA